rnacentral:rRNA from 1 species
GAUGAACGCUGGCGGCGUGCCUAAUACAUGCAAGUCGAGCGAACAGACGAGGAGCUUGCUCCUCUGACGUUAGCGGCGGACGGGUGAGUAACACGUGGAUAACCUACCUAUAAGACUGGGAUAACUUCGGGAAACCGGAGCUAAUACCGGAUAAUAUAUUGAACCGCAUGGUUCAAUAGUGAAAGACGGUUUUGCUGUCACUUAUAGAUGGAUCCGCGCCGCAUUAGCUAGUUGGUAAGGUAACGGCUUACCAAGGCGACGAUGCGUAGCCGACCUGAGAGGGUGAUCGGCCACACUGGAACUGAGACACGGGCCAGACUCCUACGGGAGGCAGCAGUAGGGAAUCUUCCGCAAUGGGCGAAAGCCUGACGGAGCAACGCCGCGUGAGUGAUGAAGGUCUUCGGAUCGUAAAACUCUGUUAUUAGGGAAGAACAAAUGUGUAAGUAACUAUGCACGUCUUGACGGUACCUAAUCAGAAAGCCACGGCUAACUACGUG